GUAGACGUCCAUUGUUUCAUUUUGAGAAAACAAUACCUGCACGGUGCAGUAAACAUGACGAAAUUUAAUUUUUAUCAACCCUUUAAGAAGUUUAGAUAGCGAAUGUGUUGAGAUUUUGUUGUGAAGUUUUGUGAUUUCUUGCCAUUGCUAAAGAUCAUUGGAAAGAAAUUACGAGAAAAAGUAGACUCUACCACAGAAAUUUCAAUUCCCAGAUCAUCCCUUGUUGAUCUGUACAUGGAUGUGCAGUUAACUAAAUACAGUUACACAUCCAAAUACGUGAAUAUAAAGAUCGACUUAAAGUGCGAAAAUAACUAGUUUUUACAGAAGGUGGCAGUUGCAAACAUACGCGGCGGUACUUAUAAAACCCAACAGAAAGUACAAAAACUUGGAAGAAAAAAUGCUCACAAUGCUUGUUUUGGGAGUUGCAUUUGGGGUAUUGUUUACAGCUCUUCUCUUUUGCGCUUUUUAUCGUGUUUUUUUUCAACACAGAGAAGAUUCAAAUACACUGAUAACCCCACCAGUCAGGAGGAGAUUCCGUUUUUCUUCAAAUGCCAUGGAAAACACAAUGCACGUGGUGCCAUUCACAUUGCCAACGACAAGAAAUGCAAAUCCUGACAUUGUUUUUUCCAAUUUUUAAAGAGAACAGUCAACAAAAUCAUGCAUAUUUAAGGUCUGUAAAUGUAGUUAUAGGCAGACGUGCUUAUUUUUAUGAAUAAUUUGUUUUAUUUUUUGUGCAUGAAUUUUUUAUUAAUCAUUAAAGAAACGUAUCAGAAAUCUUUGUUUUUGUACAAAGAAAUUCUACCCCUAGGCUCGCAGUCAUGAUUUAUAUUGUAAAAGUAUACCAAUUGGACACUCGGUAUAAAUAGAGGAAGAUACGUUCGUUAUAUUUGAAUCAAAUUGCAGUUAGGGCUCAGUGUAGACUUUACAAAAACGUUUUUUUUUUAUAUGAACUUGAUAGUAAUAUUUCGUACGCACAGUAUUUGUAAUUAACCAGUAAAAACUACUUUUGAGGGAAAAUACGAUCUUUUACCGUUUGGUAA